AGAAUUUUAAUGGUCGAACAGACCAACCCUUAAAGGCUUCUGCACCUUUAGGAUAUUCUGGUCCAACAUCGAGGUCACAAACCUUUUUUUCGAUUAGAGCUCUCAAAAAAGAUAAUGCUGUUAUCCCUACGGUAACUAAUUCCAUUAAUCAUAAUUUUUGGAUCAAAACAGGUUGUGUUUUUUUUAAUUAAAGAAGCUUUUUAUGUUCCUUAGUCGCCCCAACCAAAAUUUUUAAUAAUUUUUUUUUUACAAGUAUAAGUAGAUUUUAUUAAUUUUUUUUAAGCUCGAUAGGGUCUUCUUGUCUUUUAAUUUUAUUCAGACCUCUUCAUCUGAAAGUAAAAUUCUAUUUAAUCAGAAAGAGACAGCUUUGCUCUUGUGAGACCAUUCAUUCCAGUCCUCAGUUAUAGGACAAAUUAUUAUGCUACCUUAGCACAGUUAAGAUACUGCGGCCGUUGAAAAAAAUCACUGGGCAGGCCGGACUCUUUAUAUUAGUAUGGUCAAAGAGCC
rnacentral:rRNA from 1 species